AACGGCGCCAUUAUCCAACUCUGAGCGGCACGUGACGGUGGCGCUGGUGGAAGAAUCCAGUUUUCUCCUCCGGGGCUGGGCGUCGAUGGGAGGGAGCGGCUGAAUGUAGCCAGAGUCUGUGAGAUAGAAAUCCGAAACCCUCAAGAGUCUCACCUGCUUUGACCACAACACAACAGGACAAGAACUGGAUGGAAAUGAAAUGUGGGUCAUGAAAGGAGACUGAAUGCAGGAUGCCUGCUAACAUGUUGCCAACUGGUGUAUAUCUUUGCAGUCUAAACAAAUGAAGAUGAAAGAGGAAGCCAGGUGUCAGGCAUUAGAAACCCUAAAGACUUUCCUGUCUCAGAAGAGGACUGGCUCCACCAGAUCACCAACCAGUUCUGAGGAUGAACCUCCAUAUCGUCUUCAUGGUGGAAGGUUUUUUUUGUUGUUUUACACUAAGCAGCUGGCCACAGUUUUAGGAACAGUCAAAACUUGUAUGUUACCAUGACUUAGUGCUU